rnacentral:lncRNA from 1 species
GACGCCCUGCAACGCUGCUGCCGCGGCCGGUCGGAUGCGCUUGCCCGGCACCCCUUCGCCACAAGAUGUUUCAGCUGGGGUUUUUUUUUCCCCCCCUCUCCGUAUCGCUGAGGAUCCUGCAUGUCCUUAAGGAUGAAAGGGUGCAAAACCGCGGUGACCUCCCACCGUUGGUCCUUUUGGAUGUCGUGGCUUCGGGCUGCAGAAAUUGCCGCGGGCAUCAGGCGCGUCUGCAGGCUGCCGCUCCAACGUGUGCCUUGGAGCGAAGACGGAGGAAGGGAGGAAGGCUCUCAGCUGCUUCGACCUGGCUCGCAAAUGGUCACCCAGGACCCGCCUGGGUUAAGAUUUUAUGCUGUUGAGCAAGACAAACCCUGCGGUUUUAUCACAUGCAUUGCAAUAUUUUGGGUGAGGGCCGGACCGUGUCGGGCUUCCGACAAGGCAGGGCUUUGUUCGCUGUGUGUUCCUGGAAGUUCCCCCUCCGGGAGGGAAUUCGCCCCAUGGGAGUCUCGGCUCCCCUUUAAAAAGUUGCGUUUCGAAGGUGGCCUACUCGCGGCGAAAAGCAAGGCAGAGAAAACGGGCCCGCGAGCGUCCUGCAGGCGCGGCGGCCAGCACCCUCACCACGCCAGCUGUAUUUAUUUUUUAAAUCCCGCGAUUAUAGAGCUGAUCCUGUGCUCUCCGAGGGCCUGGCUCACAUUAAACGCCGGUAAAGCAGCUCUUUUCCAGCUAACACCGGGGUGCCGGCAAAGAGACCAGCAGCUGGGGGCUGGCAAGACGCACGCAGGAAGGGGCUCAGCAGCGGACAGGGCACAGGAAACCGAAUUUUUGGCUUUUGGAGCAAAGCACCCAUUGGAAAGAAGCAGGGGAGGGUGCAGGAAACCGAAUUUUUGGCUUUUGGAGCAAAACUGCUAUUGGAAAGAAGCAGGGAUGGGUGCAGGAAACCGAAUUUUUGGAUUUUGGAGCAAAACUGCUAUUGUAAAGAAGUAGGGAUGGGUGCAGGAAACCGAAUUUUUGGCUUUUGGAGCAAAACUGCUAUUGGAAAGAAGCAGGGAUGGGUGCAGGAAACCGAAUUUUUGGCUUUUGGAGCAAAACUGCUAUUGGAAAGAAGCAGGGGAGGGUGCAGGAAACCGAAUU